UACGAAGGGGGCUAGCGUUGCUCGGAAUCACUGGGCGUAAAGGGUGCGUAGGCGGGUUUUUAAGUCAGGGGUGAAAUCCUGGAGCUCAACUCCAGAACUGCCUUUGAUACUGAAGAUCUUGAGUCCGGGGAGAGGUGAGUGGAACUGCGAGUGUAGAGGUGGAAAUUCGUAGAUAUCGCAAGAACACCGGUGGCGAAGGCGGUCUGCUGGGGCAGUAGCUGACACUGAGGCGCGACAGCGUGGGGAGCAAA
rnacentral:rRNA from 1 species